rnacentral:rRNA from 1 species
UACGUAGGGUGCGAGCGUUGUCCGGAAUUAUUGGGACGUAAAGAGCUCGUAGGCGGUCUGUCGCGUCGAUCGUGAAAACUUGGGGCUUAACCCUGAGCUUGCGGUCGAUACGGGCAUGACUGGAGUUCGGCAGGGGAGACUGGAAUUCCUGGUGUAGCGGUGAAAUGCGCAGAUAUCAGGAGGAACACCGGUGGCGAAGGCGGGUCUCUGGGCCGAUACUGACGCUGAGGAGCGAAAGCGUGGGGAGCGAACAGG